UAGUGGGGGAUAACGCUCGGAAACGGACGCUAAUACCGCAUACGUCCUACGGGAGAAAGCGGGGGAUCUUCGGACCUCGCGCCAUUAGAUGAGCCUAGGUCGGAUUAGCUAGUUGGUGAGGUAAUGGCUCACCAAGGCGACGAUCCGUAACUGGUCUGAGAGGAUGAUCAGUCACACUGGAACUGAGACACGGUCCAGACUCCUACGGGAGGCAGCAGUGGGGAAUAUUGGACAAUGGGCGAAAGCCUGAUCCAGCCAUGCCGCGUGUGUGAAGAAGGUCUUCGGAUUGUAAAGCACUUUAAGUUGGGAGGAAGGGUAGUAACCUAAUACGUUGCUACUUUGACGUUACCGACAGAAUAAGCACCGGCUAACUUCGUG
rnacentral:rRNA from 1 species